rnacentral:misc_RNA from 1 species
CACAAAUAAGGAAAAGAGAAAAAGCUGAUGCAAAUUGCAGAUCCAAGAAAAAUGGCAGACCGAAAGAGUUAGAUCCAACAGCAAAAUUGAUUUCAGAGAUCUUGCAGCAGCACCACCUACCGAGCAAUGAAGAAGCAAGCUACAUCAUCGUCAUCAUCAACAACCAAGCCCGCAAACACUGUUUUGCCAUAUCAAACCUCAAGACUCCGGGACCACUACCUGAUAGGCAAGAAACUGGGCCAAGGCCAAUUUGGCACUACAUAUCAAUGUACCAAUAAGGCCACAAACAAGCAAUAUGCUUGCAAAUCAAUCCCAAAGAGAAAG